rnacentral:rRNA from 1 species
UACGGAGGGGGCAAGCGUUGUUCGGAAUUACUGGGCGUAAAGGGCGCGUAGGCGGCCGCCUAAGUCAGACGUGAAAUCCCUCGGCUCAACCGGGGAACUGCGUCUGAUACUGGAUGGCUUGAGUUCGGGAGAGGGAUGCGGAAUUCCAGGUGUAGCGGUGAAAUGCGUAGAUAUCUGGAGGAACACCGGUGGCGAAGGCGGCAUCCUGGACCAGCACUGACGCUGAGGAGCGAAAGCGAGGGUAGCAAACGGG